GAUGAAGAACGUAGCGAAAUGCGAUACGUAGUGUGAAUUGCAGAAUUCAGUGACUCAUCGAAUCUUUGAACGCACAUUGCACCUCUCGGUAUUCCGGGAGGUAUGCCUGUUCGAGCGUCAUUUGUACCCUCAAGCUCUGCUUGGUGUUGGGUGUUUGUUCCGCCUCUGUGUGUGAACUCGCCUCAAAACAAUUGGCAGCCGGCGUACUUGUUUCGGAGCGCAGCACAUUUUGCGAUCCAGAUCAACGUACAGCGGCAUCCAAGAAGCCUUAUUUAACGCUCUUGACCUCGGAUCAGGUAGGGAUACCCGCUGAACUUAAGCAUAUCAAUAAGCGGAGGA
rnacentral:misc_RNA from 1 species